rnacentral:rRNA from 1 species
ACUCCUGCGGGAGGCAGCAGUGGGGAAUAUUGCACAAUGGGCGCAAGCCUGAUGCAGCCAUGCCGCGUGUAUGAAGAAGGCCUUCGGGUUGUAAAGUACUUUCAGCGGGGAGGAAGGCGAUAAGGUUAAUAACCUUGUUGAUUGACGUUACCCGCAGAAGAAGCACCGGCUAACUCCGUGCCAGCAGCCGCGGUAAUACGGAGGGUGCAAGCGUUAAUCGGAAUUACUGGGCGUAAAGCGCACGCAGGCGGUCUGUCAAGUCGGAUGUGAAAUCCCCGGGCUCAACCUGGGAACUGCAUUCGAAACUGGCAGGCUAGAGUCUUGUAGAGGGGGGUAGAAUUCCAGGUGUAGCGGUGAAAUGCGUAGAGAUCUGGAGGAAUACCGGUGGCGAAGGCGGCCCCCUGGACAAAGACUGACGCUCAGGUGCGAAAGCGUGGGGAGCAAACAGGAUUAGAUACCCUAGUAGUCC